rnacentral:rRNA from 1 species
AAGGAAUGCUAGUAGUAUGCUUAAUACAUGCAAGUCGAGCGACUUUUUAGUAGCGGCGAACGGGUGCGUAACGCAUAAGAAUUUGCCUUUAGGAUGGAUGAAAUAUCCAAUAUAUAAAUGGACUCUUGUCUGCCUAAAGAUGAGCUUAUGUAAGAUUAGGUAGUUGGGGAGGUAAAUGCUCACCAAGCCAAAGAUCUUUAGCUGGUUUGAGAGAACGACCAGCCACAUUGGGACUGAGACACGGCCCAAACUCAAUUGAGGCAGCAGUAGGGAAUAUUGGACAAUGGGCGCAAGCUUGAUCCAGCAAUACUACGUGGGGGAUGAAGGCUGACUGGUUGUAAACCCAUUUCGCUAAGGACGAUAAUGACUGUACUUAGAGAAGAAGCCCCGGCUAAUUUCGUGCCAGCAGCCGCGGUAAUACGGGAGGGGCGAGUAUUUUUCGGCAUGACUGGGCGUAAAGGGCACACAGGCGGUUGAUGAAGUCUUUUGUUAAAUCCCGGAGAGAACCUUCGGUAUAGCUUUAGAUACUCUUUGACUUUGAGUAAAUAUCAGGAUAGUAGAAUUUCAGGAGUAGCGAUAAAAUGCCGAUACCUGAAGGAAUCCCAUAGGCGAAGGCGACUAUCUAGUAUUUACUGACGCUUAAGUGCGAAAGCGUGGGGAGCAAACAGGAUUAGAGACCCUGGUAGUCCGCGCUGUCAACGAUGAGUGUUAGAAAAGAAUUUCUUUUCAUAGCUAACGCGCAAACACUCCGCCUGAGGAGUACAAUCGCAAGGUUGAAACUCAAAGGAUUUGACGGGGAUCUGUAACAAGCGGUGGAGCAUGUGGUUUAAUUCGAUACAACGCGAGGAACCUUACCAAUUCUUGACAUUUCUUGCGAACUGGAUUUUUUCAGAAAUCCUAUUUUAAGGUCUUUUUAAGAUUUGUAUAGUAGCAAGAAACAGGUGCUGCAUGGCUGUCGUCAGUUCGUGUCGUGAGACGUUCGGUUAAGUCCCUAAACGAGCGGAAUCCCUCUGUGUUGCUGAUUAAUUUCGGUUACCAUACAGCUAACUAAAGUUAGAGGAAGGUGGGGAUGAAGUCAAGUCGUCAUGGCCCUUAUGAAUUGGGCUACACACGUGCUACAAUGAUAGGUACAAAGAGAGGCAACAAAGCAAUUUGAAGCGACACUUUAAAUCCUAUCUCAGUUCGGAUUGUUUUCUGAAACUCGGAAACAUGAAGUUGGAAUCGCUAGUAAUCGCGAAUCAGAACGUUGCGGUGAACUCGUUCUCAGAUCUUGUACACACCGCCCGUCAAGCCACGGAAGUGGGUUGCAUCCCAAAUUCUUCGGAACGAAGAUAUGAUUCAUGACUGGGGCU